rnacentral:rRNA from 1 species
UACGUAGGGUGCAAGCGUUGUCCGGAAUUAUUGGGCGUAAAGAGCUUGUAGGCGGUUUGUCGCGUCUGCUGUGAAAUUUCGGGGCUCAACCCCGAACUUGCAGUGGGUACGGGCAGACUAGAGUGCAGUAGGGGAGACUGGAAUUCCUGGUGUAGCGGUGAAAUGCGCAGAUAUCGGGAAGAACACCCGUGGCGAAGGCGGUUCUCUGGGACGGUACUGACGCUGAGACGCGAAAGCGUGGGGAGCGAACAGG